AACUUUCAACAACGGAUCUCUUGGCUCUCGCAUCGAUGAAGAACGCAGCGAAAUGCGAUAAGUAAUGUGAAUUGCAGAAUUCAGUGAAUCAUCGAAUCUUUGAACGCACAUUGCGCCCUCUGGCACUCCUCAGGGCAUGCCUGUUCGAGCGUC
rnacentral:rRNA from 1 species